rnacentral:rRNA from 1 species
CCUACGGGUGGCAGCAGUGGGGAAUAUUGGACAAUGGGCGCAAGCCUGACCCAGCAACGCCGCGUGAAGGAAGAAGGCUUUCGGGUUGUAAACUUCUUUUGUCAGGGAAGAGUAGAAGACGGUACCUGACGAAUAAGCCACGGCUACCUACGGGACAGCAGCCGCGGUAAUACGUAGGUGGCAAGCGUUGUCCGGAUUUACUGGGUGUAAAGGGCGUGUAGCCGGGUUGACAAGUCAGAUGUGAAAUCCUGCGGCUUAACCGCAGAACUGCAUUUGAAACUGUUGAUCUUGAGUACUGGAGAGGCAGAUGGAAUUCCUAGUGUAGCGGUGAAAUGCGUAGAUAUUAGGAGGAACACCAGUGGCGAAGGCGGUCUGCUGGACAGAAACUGACGGUGAGGCGCGAAAGCGUGGGGAGCAAACAGGAUUAGAUACCCUUGUAGUC